rnacentral:rRNA from 1 species
AUUGAACGCUGGCGGCAUGCCUAACACAUGCAAGUCGAACGGUAACAGGGGCUUCGGCCCGCUGACGAGUGGCGGACGGGUGAGUAACGCGUAGGAAUCUUCCCAGUAGCGGGGGGAUAGCUCGGCGAAAGCCGGAUUAAUACCGCAUACGCCCCACGGGGGAAAGCAGGGGAUCGUGAGACCUUGCACUAUUGGAUGAGCCUACGUCUGAUUAGCUAGUUGGUAGGGUAAAAGCCUACCAAGGCGACGAUCAGUAGCUGGUCUGAGAGGACGAUCAGCCACACUGGGACUGAGACACGGCCCAGACUCCCACGGGAGGCAGCAGUGGGGAAUAUUGGACAAUGGGCGCAAGCCUGAUCCAGCAAUGCCGCGUGUGUGAAGAAGGCCUGCGGGUUGUAAAGCACUUUCAG